UGAGUUUUAAUACAAAUAUUGUCAUCUAGAUAAUAUCCACACUCAAUUUAGUCCUCAUUACAUUUAUUAUCACACUAUUUAAUAGAAUAGUGAGGACUACUAAGACACCAUCUCGGACCAUCACUUCGUUCCCCGACUAGUCCCGGCUACUUUCUCAUUUCCUGAAGAGAACAGUGAAAGAAAGGGUGAGCUCAACUAGCUCAGUAAGAAAUAUUAUGACUAAGAUAAUGCAGAAUUAAUUAUC
rnacentral:lncRNA from 1 species